rnacentral:rRNA from 1 species
AGAGUUUGAUCAUGGCUCAGGAUGAACGCUAGCGGCAGGCUUAACACAUGCAAGUCGAGGGGCAGCAUACCCAGCAAUGGGUGAUGGCGACCGGCGGAAGGGUGCGUAACGCGUGAGCAACAUACCCUAUACAGGGGGAUAAGCCAGGGAAACUUGGUCUAAUAUCCCAUAGGAAAUAGAUAAGGCAUCUUGUUUAUUUUAAAGCUUCGGUGGUAUAGGAUUGGCUCGCGUGACAUUAGCUAGAUGGAGGGGUAACGGCCCACCAUGGCAAUGAUGUCUAGGGGUUCUGAGAGGAAGAUCCCCCACACUGGGACUGAGACACGGCCCAGACUCCUACGGGAGGCAGCAGUGAGGAAUAUUGGACAAUGGAUGGAAAUCUGAUCCAGCCAUGCCGCGUGCAGGAAGACGGCCCUAUGGGUUGUAAACUGCUUUUAUACGGGAGCAAUAAGGUCUAUGCAUAGAUUGAUGAGAGUACCGUAUGAAUAAGCAUCGGCUAACUCCGUGCCAGCAGCCGCGGUAAUACGGAGGAUGCGAGCGUUAUCCGGAUUUAUUGGGUUUAAAGGGUGCGUAGGCGGCUUUGUAAGUCAGCGGUGAAAUUUUGCAGCUUAACUGUAAAAGCGCCGUUGAUACUGUGAAGCUAGGAUUUGGUUGCUGUGGGCGGAAUGUGUGGUGUAGCGGUGAAAUGCAUAGAGAUCACACAGAAUAUCGAUUGCGAAGGCAGCUCACAAAGCCAAUAUUGACGCUGAGGCACGAAAGUGUGGGGAUCAAACAGGAUUAGAUACCCUGGUAGUCCACACUGUAAACGAUGAUAACUCGCUGUCGGCGAUAGACCGUCGGUGGCCAAGCGAAAGCGAUAAGUUAUCCACCUGGGGAGUACGACCGCAAGGUUGAAACUCAAAGGAAUUGACGG